GAGCGGUAACAGAAAGUAGCUUGCUACUUUGCUGACGAGCGGCGGACGGGUGAGUAAUGCUUGGGAACAUGCCUUGAGGUGGGGGACAACAGUUGGAAACGACUGCUAAUACCGCAUAAUGUCUACGGACCAAAGGGGGCUUCGGCUCUCGCCUUUAGAUUGGCCCAAGUGGGAUUAGCUAGUUGGUGAGGUAAUGGCUCACCAAGGCAACGAUCCCUAGCUGGUUUGAGAGGAUGAUCAGCCACACUGGAACUGAGACACGGUCCAGACUCCUACGGGAGGCAGCAGUGGGGAAUAUUGCACAAUGGGCGAAAGCCUGAUGCAGCCAUGCCGCGUGUGUGAAGAAGGCCUUCGGGUUGUAAAGCACUUUCAGUCAGGAGGAAAGGGUGUGAGUUAAUACCUCAUAUCUGUGACGUUACUGACAGAAGAAGCACCGGCUAACUCCGUGCCAGCAGCCGCGGUAAUACGGAGGGUGCGAGCGUUAAUCGGAAUUACUGGGCGUAAAGCGUACGCAGGCGGUUUGUUAAGCGAGAUGUGAAAGCCCCGGGCUCAACCUGGGAACUGCAUUUCGAACUGGCAAACUAGAGUGUGAUAGAGGGUGGUAGAAUUUCAGGUGUAGCGGUGAAAUGCGUAGAGAUCUGAAGGAAUACCGAUGGCGAAGGCAGCCACCUGGGUCAACACUGACGCUCAUGUACGAAAGCGUGGGGAGCAAACGGGAUU
rnacentral:rRNA from 2 species